AUUACCGCGGCUGCUGGCACGUAGUUAGCCGGUGCUUAUUCUUACGGUACCGUCAUGAGCCCCCAGUAUUAGUGAGAGCCUUUUCGUUCCGUACAAAAGCAGUUUACAACCCGAAGGCCUUCAUCCUGCACGCGGCAUUGCUGGAUCAGGCUCGCGCCCAUUGUCCAAAAUUCCCCACUGCUGCCUCCCGU
rnacentral:rRNA from 1 species